ACCGGAUUUCCUUGAUUAAAG
rnacentral:miRNA from 1 species